rnacentral:rRNA from 1 species
GAUAAACGCUGGCGGCGUGCCUAACACAUGCAAGUCGAGCGCGUAGCAAUACGAGCGGCAGACGGGUGAGUAACGCGUGGGAAUCUACCCAUCUCUACGGAAUAACUCAGGGAAACUUGUGCUAAUACCGUAUACGUCCGAGAGGAGAAAGAUUUAUCGCUAUAGGAUGGGCCCGCGUAGGAUUAGCUAGUUGGUGAGGUAAUGGCUCACCAAGGCGACGAUCCUUAGCUGGUUUGAGAGAACGACCAGCCACACUGGGACUGAGACACGGCCCAGACUCCUACGGGAGGCAGCAGUGGGGAAUAUUGGACAAUGGGCGCAAGCCUGAUCCAGCCAUGCCGCGUGAGUGAUGAAGGCCUUAGGGUUGUAAAGCUCUUUUGGCGGGAACGAAACGGCGCUUUCUAAUACAGAGUGCUAAUGACGGUACCCGCAGAAUAAGCACCGGCUAACUACGUGCCAGCAGCCGCGGUAAAUGA